CUGUGGCGCAAUGGUAACGCGGCUGCCUUGUAAGCAGUAGACUGUUGGUUCAAAUCCGACCG
rnacentral:tRNA from 1 species